rnacentral:rRNA from 1 species
AUGCUGCGGAUGAACGGAGGCGGCAAGGGCAGCGAUUAUGGGAGCUUAGAGCCGGGAGCUACGAGCAUGAGCAUGAGGAGUUGGAGCACAACCACCGCGUUCACCAACAGGAGCAUCCGGGUGGCGUCCAUGGUGAUGGGGAUGAUGAUCUCAAUGCUGAGGGUCAGGGCUACCUGCGAUGAUGAAGGCGAGGACGAGCUCUCCGAAGCUUUGAAGAGGAGGGGGCGGGCAGAGGAGCAUGUUGAGGAUCACAUAAACGCUGCACAGGAACUAGUUGCAUUGGGUGAAGUGGUUGGGAAUUUGAGAAAUGUGAAUCCUUGGUUGGACUUCCCUGCAAGCAUUCAUACCAUCCUGACUGCAUUUCAGUGGCGUCAAAUAAAUAAGGGGCAGUUCUUCUGCUUAGGUUUACUCCAGGCAUAUUUCAGUAGGCACCUAGGUGUUUUGCAAGUUACUCUGGCCGCAUUUCGAUUGAUAAUAGCUUACAUUGUAAGUAAAACAUGCAAUAAAGUUUUUGUAUCGUUACAGAUCGGGACGCAGCUGGCCACCACAACCUGUAGCUACAUGCAUUCAUGCACUACACGCACGCACGGUGUGUCCAAGGCUCCAACCUCGCUUGUCAAUGGAUGGCCAAGCAAGCAGAGCCACUUUAUAGUUUUUGUGAAAAUUCCUGGUUUUGUGUCUGUGUUCAAGCCACUUUCUGACGCAGCGAAGAGCAGGAGGAUUCCAACGGAGGAGAUGAUGCGGUUUUUGCAGCAGGUGCCAUUUCACAUCCAGAACUCCCCCAAGGAGAGGGCGUACAUGAUGCUGCGGACGAAUGGAGGUAAUGAUGGCGGCGAUUAUGGGAGCUCAGAGGCCGGGAGCUAA